GGGCGGAUAGCUCAGCGGCGAGAGCGCCUGCCUUACAAGCAGGAGGUCCCAGGUUCAAUUCCUGGUCCGCCCA
rnacentral:tRNA from 1 species